CUUAUCUAAAUUUAUUUCUAAAACUUUUUUUUUUUUUCUGAUAAAGAUUAAAAAUGAGGUGGACAUAUGUGGCCCUGCCACUAUCUUCUCCUCACCUUGAUAUUUGGAGUUACAGUAGUUAGAAAGAAUUCAAAGGAAGAGGGCUGAACCUCAUAUGAGUCUGAAAUCUGAAUCCACCCACAAAAUGCCACCCUAUGCAACCUCUCUCCUACAAAAAAGUAGCAGCUAUAUUUCGGUGUACCUCUUUUCCUUCCAACAUAUCAGACUCUAUUAUUAUAUACAGUAAAACCUUGAUUAUAUUACAAAGUAUACUGUAUUUUGUAUUGUGUAUUCUCAUAGAAUAUAUGAAACAGUUCACAACACUUCUGCCGUCUAAGAUCACAACACAAGAUUUCAUAAUGUGAACAACUAAAGAUUUGUUUCAUUGAUACAGAAAACUAUAGACUAAGUUUUCUACGUGUAUAAACAUCCGUUUUCAAAGGCUGGUCCCCAAUACCUAAAACUCAUUUCUUUACCUUGGGAUCUGAAUGAAGAAUACUAACCUUUUUUUUUUUUAUAGGCAUCUUGUGGUCCAGUACCCAAAAGAAUAGUUGCUGGGAUGUAUGAUAUAAUAGGCUGGCAAUUGGCAUUGAGAGAAAAGUUAAAGACAUUUUAAGGUCCAUUAUGGAGAGCAAUGAUUCCAACUUUGAAUCCGUAGAAACAGAAAAAUUGGACCAAGAAUCACUAGUUUGGACCAUUUUUGGUAGCUCAGACAACGAAUGCUAACACAUUAAGGCCAAAUCCAUGCAGCCGCGACUUCAGCAAAGAAGCUCAUCCGAUAACAUACUAACCUUAUCACAAACGCGUAAAAGCAAAGUUGCAAUGCAAGGACUUUACUGAAGAAAUUGGGCAAAAGGAAGAGGAAUAACUUAAGGAGAAAAAGACUCAGAGCUAGAGAAAGGGAAAGGGAACCAUAUUCCCAUUUCUUGUAGCAGGUCAAACCCAAAAGUACACAAAUUAUUCUGAUGUUUUCUUGCAGGACACUUAGACUUGAGCAUGUCCUGCAAGAAAACAGUGUAUGUAUGUACUUUCUCUAUAUCACUUUCGAGUAUAUUAUACGCGUUUGAACUUCAAAAAUGUUAAAGAGCAUUCCUCUGAUUAUCAAAAUUUUCUGCAUUAAUAGGAAAUGCCCCAUCAGUGAAGGUUAGUAUUGCCGUAUUGUAACAAUUAGCAGUUCUGCAGUUGACUAAGGUUAUUCAGAAUAUUAGUUAUAUGGUCAGGUCCAACAUGAACUUAUAGUGAUGAUAUGAGGGAUUCUAGAGUAUUAGGGCCUCAAG